UACGGGGGGGGCAAGCGUUGUUCGGAAUUACUGGGCGUAAAGGGCUCGUAGGCGGCCAACUAAGUCGGAUGUGAAAUCCCCAGGCUCAACUUGGGAACUGCAUCCGAUACUGGAUGGCUUGAAUUCGGGAGAGGGAUGCAGAAUUCCAGGUGUAGCGGUGAAAUGCGUAGAUAUCUGGAGGAAUACCGGUGGCGAAGGCGGCAUCCUGGACCGACAUUGACGCUGAGGAGCGAAAGCUAGGGGAGCAAACAGGG
rnacentral:rRNA from 1 species